GAAUCCCUGUUCAGCGGCCUGGGGCUGGGCGCGGUGGUCGGCCUCGGCCUGGGAGCGCUGCUGCUGCUGCUCGUGCUGGUGGAUGUCAGCUGCUUCUUCCUGCGUCACUGUGGCCUGCUGAUGUGCAUCACGCGCACAAUCUGCAGCAAGAAAACAGCCACCAGCGGCAAGGGCAAAGAAAUGGAAGAGGGCAAGGCCGCCUACCUGAAACUACCGCUGAAGGAAGAAAAUGGAAAAGAGUCUCUCAAGCCAGAUACGAUUGAAAUCAAAGUUCACAGCGACAACAGCAUCCACACAAAGCCCGACGUCAGCAAAGCGUAAAAGGGUCCGGUCCCCUCGCCACCAAAAGAACAUUCGGAUCACGAGACCAAAACCCAGAGAAACUUCAGCACUGGAAAAUAGUGGAGUAAAAUACCAUAUCUGUUUAUAACAAUGCCCAAGUGAAAGGCAUGUGUAAAUACAAAUAAUAAGGAGAAAAUAGAAAGAGAGAAAGGGUCAAACUUUUACACACCCUGAGUGAUAUAUGUAUCAAAAACAUGGCAUCAGUGGAAAGCUCUUGUUGAUCAAUGAUUGUAUUUUAUUUGUCUCUCUUUUUGUUGUGUCUGGUCAUAAAUGUUGUUUUUUCCCUCUUCUUUGUGUUUUACAACCCUAAAAAGAUUUCCGUACCCAAUCCCUACCAUGACCUCUUCCACAAAUGCAAGCAAAGCUAACCUGCUAGCUCGAUGUUAGCUUCCACAGCUAACACUCCUGUUCGUUUUUGGUUGGAGGGAACGCACGGCUAACACGAGGCUAAUGCUGAAUUAUUUCAAGCUAGCUCGCUUCAGCAAAGGGUAAAUUGUGCAAUGAGACUUUGAGGUUGUAUUUCUUAAAGGAAUCUUGACUCCAGGAACUUGUGAGAUAUUUUACAAGGAUGAAAAAGUAUCAAACAGGAUGUAAUCAUGGAUUAUUAUUAAGAAGAAUUUGAUUAAUAUGGCUUUCUGAAGGGCUAUUGUGGAUCAAAGCUUCCACUGCAGGAACACAAACCUAAAACAUAUUGAAGAAAAUUUAGUCUUUGACAUCUAAAGACUCAUAUUUGCACUGAUGUCAUUAUUGGCACACUCUUUACGUUGAUGACACUCUUCUAUUCACUAACAACGUUUUCCUACAGCAGACUGCACUGCAAACUAAUGUACGCUUUGAGAUCAUGUUAGUUAUCAAUAUUUAAGAGUUGAGAGCCUUCCCUUAAAAAAAUAUCCUGAAUGGUUGUUAUGUAAUUGUCGCUGUCUUUAGAGAAAGCAGUGACUGGAAGGACUCAAAGCAUGGGAACAACUGAGUUCAGAAAACAAUCAACAUGUCCGUCAUCGAUGUUUUUAAUCACAAAAAAACGUUUUCUUUAUCCAUACCUGUCUCAGAUGUUUUUAAAAGCUUUUGUUCUUGAUCUAAAUCUCUCUGAUGUUGUCAUGUGUUGUACAUAGGUGAAAAAAAAAAAGAAUAUUUUACAAAGCUUUUAUGUAAAUAUACCCUAAAGGAUGUGUCUUUUUUCAAAAUGCAACAGGCUUGGCUUUUUUCUUGAGAACACUCCUCAGACGAAAAGCUGUUUUCUUUCUUCUUCUUCUUCUUUUGUUGUGUUUUGGUCCAAAGUUUAGUGACGGUGUACUAUUACUUUUCCUUGUCAUUUGUUUCCCUUAAGAAAGCCCUAAGGCUAUUUCACGGCAUUCCAAUGCAGACAGUAAUUACGGCAUUAGUGUGCCUUUUUUUUCUUCUUUCCCUCUCGUGGCCCGAUGCCGCUGCAGCAGUGUAGACCAUCCAAUUCAUUUUUUGAUCGCUGCUUUUUGUUUUUUUGCCACAGAAUGUGUCAGACAAUUGAAUAUUAAUGUGGUGCUUUGGAUUCUGGGAAACGUAGUGUUAGGACUGUGGGUUGUAGUCGACCACACUGGACAGAGGCAGACGUGUGUAACUACUAGAUGUCAGAUAAAUGCUGUAACUCGUGAGUGUGUUGAUGGGCUGCAGAAAUCUGGUUUAAAUGCAAUGUAAUGCAUCAUCACAUGGGCGUGUGUGAACGUGUGUGUGUGUGUGUGUGUGUGCAUACAUGCAUAUGUGACUUGUCAACAUGAAUCAGGUUGCAUGUGUGUCCGUUGAAUGUAUCUGCACUUACUGUGAGUCAUCUGUGUGUGAAUGUGUCCAUUUGAAAGAUUCUACCAACUCAAAUAAUCAGUUUAACAAACGUCCUAUUCUGGCUUUUUAUUUUCAUUUUAUUUAUUUGUUUAUGUGUUGAGCUAUUUAUUUUAGAUUUAAUUAUUCAGUACCAUGAUGCAUUGCAGCCCUGCAAGUCAUAUAUGACCACGUGCCAAGUAUGAAUGUCCAAUCUCUGUGAGUGUGGAGUGACUUGGCAAGAGCUCUUACCCCGAGUUUCACAGGGCGCUCCGAUAGGUAAAACCUGAUUAUGUAGUUCUCGACAGUGAUUAAUUCCCCGGGCUGCAGCACUCCACUCCGCAUGUGUGUGUGUGUGUGUGUGCCCACUUCUCCCCGGCUCUCAGACUCCACUGGUUUUUAUCUCAGACCUCAUAGUGCUGGCUUUGUUUCCUCACAGCGGGCCCUUGUACCUGCAUAUCUCAAACGGAUGGUCCUGCCAUGGAGUGGUUCCGCUGCCUGUUACGAUGACUGUAAAUAUGGGAGCCUGGAGUGCCUGGAGGCUAUACGAUUUGUACAUGUUCUUUUGUAUUUGAAUAUGAGUCGAAAAAUACCCAACUCCCUCCUCUCCUUCUUAUCCUCUCCCCCCUCCCCCUCCUCCUCCACCAAACCUCAGUCCUUUUUCUGUAGGGGGUAAAACAGGUGUGUUUGAGCUCAGUGUACAGUAUGUGUCCUCUUGUCCCCAUGCUCCCUGUGUCUCCUGGACUGUCCCCGCUGAGUGUGCUUUGUGCAGGAGGUGGGAACUAUUGAUGUCUCUCUGUACGUACCUGUGGAAACACUUGUGACUCCUGUCAUUUGCCGCUGUAAAUAAACAUGUCCUGGUAGAAGAGAGUG